GGGAGAUAAAGAGGUUUUUGUUUAUUAUGAAAAAAUUUUUAAAGGGGUUCAAAUUAAGAUCUUAAGAUUUAGUAAGAAGGAGUAAGUGAAAUUAAACAAUGAUGAAUUUGAUUUAGUUGAAUUUUUAUUAGAUAAAAUAAGUGCCAGUAAUCACGGUUAUACUUAUUAAUGUUCAAUAAUGUAUAAAGUUGAGUUAGGUGGGAAUUCUUAUCUGUGUCAAGUUUAAAAUGGAAGUUAGGAAGAUAAAGAACUUAUCAAAGUAGAUUAGAUACCUAUGUAGAAAAUAUAUUGGGAUAGAUUAAUUAAGAAAUAUAAAUAAUUAGACGGUUUAGCCAUAUACAGAGGUGCUUGUUUAAUAAUAUGAUAGUCCGCAUUAAAGUUCUUUCUGUUAAUAAAGUGUAUGUCCGUAAAGUGUAGAAUAAUUUUUAUGCUCGUCAGGUCUCCAUGCUAUUAGGAAAGUUGAUAUGAGCAGCAAUAUUAUUUUUAGGUUUUAGCUGAAAAGUUAAGACAUAAAUAGGAUUUGUCAGUAAAGGAAUGUUAGUAACUUUUUUUGAAAGUUAAUGGUUGGAGUACUCACCGCCCGCCAAUAAGAUUGUAAAUUUUUAUAAAGCGUAACAAGGUAAGUUUUCUAGAAGGAGAGCUUGGAU
rnacentral:rRNA from 1 species